rnacentral:rRNA from 1 species
UACGUAGGGACCAAGCGUUGUUCGGAUUUACUGGGCGUAAAGGGCGCGUAGGCGGCAUGACAAGUCACUUGUGAAAUCUCCGGGCUUAACUCGGAACGAUCAAGUGAUACUGUCGCGCUAGAGUGCGGAAGGGGCAAUCAGAAUUCUUGGUGUAGCGGUGAAAUGCGUAGAUAUCAAGAGGAAUACCUGAGGUGAAGACGGGUUGCUAGGCCGACACUGACGCUGAAGCGCGAAAGCCAGGGGAGCAAACGGG